rnacentral:rRNA from 1 species
UUUAAAUCUACCUGGGUUUCCAGGUCGAGUUGUAAUUUGAAGAAGUGUUUUUUACUUUCCGGGUUGGGUUAAAUCCUUUGGGAUAAGGUAUCAUGGAGGGUGAGAAUCCCGUGUAUACCAACCGCAGGAUYGUUUAAUAUACACUUUCUAAGAGUCGAGUUGUUUGGGAAUGCAGCUCUAAAUGGGUGGUAAAUUUCACCUAAUGCUAAAUAUAAGCGAGAGACCGAUAGCGAACAAGUACCGUGAGGGAAAGAUGAAAAGAACUUUGAAAAGAGAGUUAAAUAGUACGUGAAAUUGUUGAAAGGGAAACGGUURAAGUCAGUCAUGCCGGCGGGAAUCAACUUAGGGGAAACUCUGAGUGCACUUCUUCGCYUGGCAGGUUAGCGUCGAUUUUGGAUGUCAUAAAAUGACUGGGGGAAGGUAGCUCUUUCGGGAGUGUUAAGCCCUURGUAGAUGUGAUGUCCGGGAUCGAGGAUUGCAACGGAUACCUUUUGGGCUARCCGCCUAGUCUCUAAWAYGAAGUUGGGUUAUGGACAGCACGCUGACUGUGAUCUGAUUUUCGGUUAAAAGAUUA